UAGAGUUUGAGUCAGUUAGUCAACGGGGGAUAGUCAAAGUCAAGGGUAAAUAUUUGAAAGAGAAAUCCCGUUGGUGCCGGUUUGUUGAACUGACACAAUCCUACCACAGGCUUCCGGGAUGUUGUGGUGAAGGUUCACGGUUCAUUGGAAAGGCUCGCCAUCUAUGGAUCAAUGGUUCACCUGAUAUGAUUCAAAAACUGAAGCUUGAAUCAUGUCCCCCAUGCACUUUUCCAUUAAACGCUGAAAAGUGUUGGACGCGUUUUGUGAUCCCCUGCAAUUCCACUCCCAAAAACCAAGAGGGCACACGAAUGCUGUCUUGUCUUUGUCACUCUGUCAUCGCAAUCUGGUAAUAGCCACUUUUCAGGUCCGUUACUGAAAACCACUGAGAUCCGCUCAGGGCUGAGAAGGAUUCCUCAAGAUUCGGUAAUGCAUACGCAUCUUUGAUCGUUUGCAUGUUUAAUCGCCAGUAGUCUACACAUAAUCUGACAUCACCGUUCUUCUUUUGAGUUCGACUAUUGGAGAUGCAAAAGGAGACUGUGAUUCGUGAAUGAUCCCUGCUUCAAGAAGAGACUGCAGGUGACGCCUCACUGCGUCAAAAUCCUGAGGAUGAAUAGGACGUGGGCAUUGCUUGAAAGGUGUCUCAUCCUUGAGUUUGAUUGAAUGUUUCACUUCUGUUGCAUGUCCGUAGUCGCGAUCGUGAUGAGAGAAAAUGUCUGAAAAUGUGUUUAACUUAUUUGUCAUACAAGCUUUCCACUCCUCGGUAUUUUGUAUGGGGCGUCUCUUAGGUCGUUAAUGAGACAACAUUCGACAAAAAUUCCCCCAGGAUGCAGGACCAGAACUUGUCCAGGCACUUGGCAUUUCACAUCUGGAAUAAUGUACCUCAUUCUUGUUGAGGUUCCCGGCUUGUGCAACCAAACCCCUGAAACUCAUUCAGAAUGCAGUGGGCCGCCUGGUGUUCAACCUUCCCAAGUUCUCCCACGUCACCCCUCUUCUUGGGCUUCCAGUUGAAGCCUACUUUGUUAAAGAGUAAUUAAAAUAGUUCC